AAUAUUUGACAAUGGGGGCAACCCUGAUCCAGCGAUGCCGCGUGUGUGAAGAAGGUCUUCGGAGUGUAAAGCACUUUAAGUGGGGAGGAAGGGCUUUAGGUUAAUACCCUGUAGUUUUGACGUUACCAACAGAAGAAGCACCGGCUCACUGUGUGCCAGCAGCCGCGGUAACACAGAGGGUGCAAGCGUGAAUAGGAAUUACUGGGGGUAAAGCGCGCGUAGGUGGUUCGGUAAGAUGGUGUUGUAAUCCCCGGGCUUAACCUGGAAACUGCUUUCAUAACUGCAGAGCUAUAGUACGGUAGAGGGUAGUGGAAUUUCCUGGGUAGCGGUGAAAUGCGUAGAUAUAGGAAGGAACCCCAGUGGCGAAGGCGACUACCUGGACUGAUACUUACACUGAGGUGCGAAAGCGUGGGGGGCAAACA
rnacentral:rRNA from 1 species